CCUACGGGAGGCAGCAGUGGGGAAUAUUGGACAAUGGGCGAAAGCCUGAUCCAGCAAUGCCGCGUGAGUGAUGAAGGCCUUAGGGUUGUAAAGCUCUUUUACCAGGGAUGAUAAUGACAGUACCUGGAGAAUAAGCUCCGGCUAACUCCGUGCCAGCAGCCGCGGUAAUACGGAGGGAGCUAGCGUUGUUCGGAAUUACUGGGCGUAAAGCGUACGUAGGCGGUUAUUCAAGUCAGAGGUGAAAGCCUGGAGCUCAACUCCAGAACUGCCUUUGAAACUAGAUAGCUAGAAUCUUGGAGAGGUGAGUGGAAUUCCGAGUGUAGAGGUGAAAUUCGUAGAUAUUCGGAAGAACACCAGUGGCGAAGGCGACUCACUGGACAAGUAUUGACGCUGAGGUACGAAAGCGUGGGGAGCAAACAGGAUUAGAUACCCUGGUAGUCCACGCCGUAAACGAUGAUAACUAGCUGUUCGGGCUCUACGAGCUUGUAGUGGCGCGAGACUACGACAUUAAGUUAGUCCGUCCGUCGGGUAGGUACGGUCGGCGAGAAGUUAAACGUAACGUAAAGUUAAAGUUAGUACGGCGUUGAGACGNGCCGACGGACGACGACGAGGGAGGAGG
rnacentral:rRNA from 1 species